rnacentral:rRNA from 1 species
UCUAAGUUUGAUGGCGACCGGCGCACGGGUGAGUAACACGUAUCCAACCUGCCGAUGACUCGGGGAUAGCCUUUCGAAAGAAAGAUUAAUACCCGAUGGCAUAGUUCUUCCGCAUGGUAGAACUAUUAAAGAAUUUCGGUCAUCGAUGGGGAUGCGUUCCAUUAGGUUGUUGGCGGGGGUAACGGGCCCACCAAGCCUUCGAUGGAUAGGGGUUCUGAGAGGAAGGUCCCCCCACAUUGGAACUGAGACACGGUCCAAACUCCUACGGGAGGCAGCAUG